rnacentral:rRNA from 1 species
GACGAACGCUGGCGGCGUGCUUAACACAUGCAAGUCGAGCGGUAAGGCCCUUUCGGGGGUACACGAGCGGCGAACGGGUGAGUAACACGUGGGUGACCUGCCCUCAGCUCUGGGAUAAGCCUGGGAAACCGGGUCUAAUACUGGAUAUGACUCCAUGACGCAUGUUGUGGGGUGGAAAGCCUUGUGCGGCUGAGGAUGGGCCCGCGGCCUAUCAGCUUGUUGGUGGGGUGANGGCCUACCAAGGCGACGACGGGUAGCCGGCCUGAGAGGGCGACCGGCCACACUGGGACUGAGACACGGCCCAGACUCCUACGGGAGGCAGCAGUGGGGAA